rnacentral:rRNA from 1 species
CCUACGGGUGGCAGCAGUGGGGAAUAUUGGGCAAUGGGCGCAAGCCUGACCCAGCAACGCCGCGUGAAGGAAGAAGGCUUUCGGGUUGUAAACUUCUUUUAAGAGGGAAGAGCAGAAGACGGUACCUCUUGAAUAAGCCACGGCUAACUACGUGUCAGCAGCCGCGGUAAUACGUAGGUGGCAAGCGUUGUCCGGAUUUACUGGGUGUAAAGGGCGUGCAGGCGGGAAGACAAGUCAGUUGUGAAAGCCGGCGGCUCAACCGGGGAACUGCAUUUGAUACUGUUUGUCUUGAGUAACGGAGAGGGCAUCGGAAUUCCUGGUGUAGCGGUGAAAUGCGUAGAUAUAGGGAAGAACACUAGUGGCGAAGGCGGAUGACUGGACGGCAACUGACGGUGAGGCACGAAGGCGUGGGGAGCGAACAGGAUUAGAUACCCGGGUAGUC